rnacentral:rRNA from 1 species
AACGAACGCUGGCGGCAGGCCUAACACAUGCAAGUCGAACGCCCGUAGCAAUACGGGAGUGGCAGACGGGUGAGUAACGCGUGGGAACGUGCCCUUCGGUUCGGAAUAACUCAGGGAAACUUGAGCUAAUACCGGAUACGUCCGUAAGGAGAAAGAUUUAUCGCCGAAGGAUCGGCCCGCGUCGGAUUAGCUAGUUGGUGAGGUAACGGCCCACCAAGGCGACGAUCCGUAGCUGGUCUGAGAGGANGAUCAGCCACACUGGGACUGAGACACGGCCCAGACUCCUACGGGAGGCAGCAGUGGGGAAUAUUGGACAAUGGGCGAAAGCCUGAUCCAGCCAUGCCGCGUGAGUGAAGAAGGCCUUAGGGUUGUAAAGCUCUUUCAGCGGGAAGAUAAUGACGGUACCCGCAGAAGAAGCCCCGGCUAACUUCGUGCCA